rnacentral:tRNA from 1 species
GGUUGUGGCUCAGUGAUAGAGCACUUGCCUCACACGUGUGAGGCACUGGGUUCAAUUCUCAGCACAUCA